UACGGAGGGUGCAAGCGUUAUCCGGAUUUACUGGGUUUAAAGGGAGCGCAGGCGGAUUGGUAAGUCAGUGGUGAAAGCCUCCAGCUCAACUGGAGAACUGCCAUUGAUACUGACGGGCUUGAGUACAGACGAGGUUGGCGGAAUUGAUUGUGUAGCGGUGAAAUGCAUAGAUACAAUCAAGAACUCCGAUUGCGUAGGCAGCUAACUAGGCUGUAACUGACGCUGAGGCACGAAAGCGUGGGGAGCGAACAGG
rnacentral:rRNA from 1 species